rnacentral:rRNA from 1 species
AUUGAACGCUGGCGGCAGGCCUAACACAUGCAAGUCGAGCGAGCGGAGGACGGGUGAGUAAUGUAUGGGGAUAUGCCCGAUAGAGGGGGAUAACUACUGGAAACGGUCGCUAAUACCGCAUCCCAUCGGAUGUGCCCAGAUGGGAUUGGCUAGUAGGUGGGGUAAAGGCUCACAUAGGCGACGAUCCCUAGUUGGUCUGAGAGUAGGACCAGCCACACUGGAACGGAGACACGUGCCAGACUCCUACGGGAGGUAGCAUUGGGGAAUAUUGCACAAUGGGCGCAAGCCUGAUGCAGCCAUGCCGCGUGUAUGAAGAAGGCCUUCGGGUUGUAAAGUACUUUCAGCGAGGAGGCGUUACUCGCAGAAGAAGCACCGGCUAACUCCGUGCCAGCAGCCGCGGUAAUUC